ACUUGACAUUUAACUUCCUCUUUCCCAUACCGCAAAAGCAUAAACAAUGUGAUUCAGACCUACCCUGCAACCUGAGAUGGCAGCAGUUCCUCCUGAAUUCCGUGAAACAUUUAUCAUAUCAAGAAGGAAUAAGGGCCUUCCGAGUAAUUUGUGUUGAAGGAUGAAUCACAAAUAAGUCUCAGUGGAAGAGAUAUUUGGCUAACAAGAUCCACACAGUAUUAGUGAUUUUUGGAACAUGAGCACCAUCAUCGGAUUGCAAGUUCAAGGCCCUACUGUAUGAAGUUCUCGUUAUCAGCUGUAUGUAUGGAGAGACAUUAUGGAGACCAGGCCCUGUUACUACAGAGAGAAGAGAAACCCAGCAGACUAGCCAUCAUUCCUAGUACUUACCUUAUUAUAUUUAGCAUGUCAUUGCACCUAGUCGUCAUUCACUUUUCUGGUUGUGCAAUCAUAACUUGCCAAAUAAGACUUUUUUCACACAGUUGUACAAUUAUUAAUACAUGCACAUGAUGCAAAUUAUGCACAAAAGCAAGGUUCAUGCUCCUGUGGCAGCUCAGAGACAUUAUCUGUGAAAGGGUCACUGGAACUGAAACAUUAAUUCUGACUUUUCUCCACAGAUUCUGAGCUUUGCCAGCAAUUUUUGUUUUUGUUUCUCAAUUCCAGCAUCCACAGUUAUUACAGUUUUUACAUUACCUCGAUUGGUUGCUUCUGAAUAAACUGUUUCAAAUGA